AUUGAACGCUGGCGGCAGGCCUAACACAUGCAAGUCGAGCGGCAGCGGGAAAGUAGCUUGCUACUUUUGCCGGCGAGCGGCGGACGGGUGAGUAAUGCCUGGGGAUCUGCCCAGUCGAGGGGGAUAACUACUGGAAACGGUAGCUAAUACCGCAUACGCCCUACGGGGGAAAGCAGGGGACCUUCGGGCCUUGCGCGAUUGGAUGAACCCGGGUGGGAUUAGCUAGUUGGUGAGGUAACGGCUCACCAAGGCGACGAUCCCUAGCUGGUCUGAGAGGAUGAUCAGCCACACUGGAACUGAGACACGGUCCAGACUCCUACGGGAGGCAGCAGUGGGGAAUAUUGCACAAUGGGGGAAACCCUGAUGCAGCCAUGCCGCGUGUGUGAAGAAGGCCUUCGGGUUGUAAAGCACUUUCAGCGAGGAGGAAAGGUCAGUAGCUAAUAUCUGCUGGCUGUGACGUUACUCGCAGAAGAAGCACCGGCUAACUCCGUGCCAGCAGCCGCGGUAA
rnacentral:rRNA from 1 species